UACGAAGGGGGCUAGCGUUGUUCGGAUUUACUGGGCGUAAAGCGCACGUAGGCGGAUCGUUAAGUCGGGGGUGAAAUCCUGGAGCUCAACUCCAGAACUGCCUUUGAUACUGGCGAUCUUGAGUCCGGAAGAGGUGAGUGGAACUCCUAGUGUAGAGGUGGAAUUCGUAGAUAUUAGGAAGAACACCAGUGGCGAAGGCGGCUCACUGGUCCGGUACUGACGCUGAGGUGCGAAAGCGUGGGGAGCAACAGGG
rnacentral:rRNA from 1 species